rnacentral:lncRNA from 1 species
AAAAAUUGACUAAAUAAUAAAAUAUGCUAAAAAGGGGCCUUAAAUCGAAAUGAAAUAAAACAUAUAGGGCCAAUUCGAAAUAAAGGAAAACGAAAGGGAUCCAAUUGCGACGCGCGUAAAAAAGGGGAGGACCAAAACAGAAAAUAAACCCAAAAUCCCGAAACGCAGCACCUCAAUGGACUAAAAUAAAACAAAAAUAAAAUGUUAGGGCUAAAUCAAAAUAAAAUAAAACAACAAAAUAGGACCAAAUUGAAACACGCCGCGAAUCAGAGGGACUGCGCGCAUAAAUAGCCCAAAAAUUAAAAACACGCGGAUCCUUCGGGUCGGGUCGGGUCGACGCGCGGAUCCCCUUUGCUAAAACGGCGUCGUUUCAUUUUGAAUAUAAAUAAUAGAAAAAAACAAAAAAAAACAAAUCAGAUUCAUUUUUUAGAAAAAAAAAAGCUGAGAGGGAGAGUCUCUCUCUCAUUCUUUCAGGCCCGGCGCUGGUCAUCGGCCGAACUAGGCCUCCGGCGAUUCUCCGCCCUAGCGCCGCCGCGUAUGGUGGCCGGAGUAUCCCAAAAAUCGGAUUUUUUCAUCCUUUUCGAAGUUAAGUGCGUCUUAAGCACGAAUCGAAGGGUUAAAUCCGAAAAAGGAGGUCCGAAACUUGAAGAACGAGGAGAGACCACUCGCCCUUCCCCUUUCGACGUAGCACAGGUAACCCCUAUUCCUAUUUUGUUUUGUUAAAAGAGUUGUAGAAAAUAAAAAAAUAAUAGAAGACAGGGAAUAAAACGCAAGAAUCUGAGAAAAAAAAAAUCUGAAAUCAACCUUUUCUUUCGCUUUUUUAUCUUCUUAUUAUUCACUGAUUGUUGUUAAUUCCUUGUUUGAUACCCAAAAUCCCCAAGCCCCGUUUACAUAUUAAAUCUGGCUUUUUAUAGCCGAAAGAAAGAAAAAAAUUUGUCUUCGUUUCUGCUUGCGUGUUUGUUUCUCUUUGCAGGUGGAGCAGGUGGAGCAGGUGAGCAGCGAUGGGACGUGCGGCGGCCAGCAAGUGAACGGCGGAGUUGGUGGGUCUGCUGGUAUGGGUUCUUUUGUUUCUUUCUUGGGCCCGGGCAAAUGGGCCUGCAACAGCUGCCCCUCUUUGCUCGUUGUCGUGUAACGAUAACAGAGCAAAGACUAAGAAAGGCCCAUUUUGCCCGGUCUUGCCGAGUCUUGACCUGUUCUGGUACUUCUCCAUUUCAAGUAGUUUCAUUCCAGUCCACUAGGUCUUGUUGCUUCGAUCCAUUCCACUGCAUUUUAGAGAGAUGCGUCCUGUAGCCUUUAUCUUCUUUGUAGCAACUUCAGGGGGACGAGGUUUGUGGUUUUCAAUCUAUUCCACUGCAUCUUCAGGGAAAUAAGACUUGAUGCGGCCUACUCUGCUGUAACCUCAGAGAGAUAAGAUCCUUUAUUUUAAUCCACUCCACCGUAACUUCAGGGAGAUAGGAUAGUGUCUUUGAUCUGCUCCGCUGUAAUCUCAGGGAGAUAAGAUCUCUGGCUUCAAUCUGCUCCACUGUAACCUCAGGGAGAUAAGAUCUGAAAUUCUUUGGUCUGUUCCACUGUAAUCUCAGGGAGAUAAGACCUGAUGUGAUCUUCUCUACUGUAACUUCAGAGAGAUAAGAUCCUUUAAUCCGCUCCAUUGUAAUCUCAAGGAGAUAGGAUUACUAUCUUUGAUCCGCUCCGCUGUAAUCUCAGGGAGAUAAGAUCUGAAAAAUUUUUUUUUGGUCUGUUCCACUGUAAUCUUAGGGAGAUAAGACCUGUAUAAUAAACCUAAUUAUGCCUAAUGAUCAGGAUGACAUGAUCAAAAUGAAACAAAUGCUCCUAACUAGACAUAUGUGAAUGGUGUUUGCAUGAAUGCAGAAUUUUAUUUUUCCGAGAAUGAUCUCGCUUAGGUUAUCACUACUCGAAGUUUAUCAAGGUUUUGUGACUGAUGUGCUACAACGCCUUCUCGCUUGACUGAUUUUUCUGAAGAAACAUUUAGCCAGACUGUCCCCGUUGUAAACCUCAAAGUUAUAUCCACUGGGACACCAAAAUUUGUACCAUCAUUCUCUCACAGUAAUCUAAGGGUAGAAAUAUGUGACUUUUCCUCUGUCCUCUUUUAUCACAAUUCGGGGAUAUAGGAUCUGAACCGUUCUGGUUUCCUACACCAUUCUCAAGGUGUCAUACCAAAGUCUUAUGCGCAAGUGAAGGCUCUUUUCUCCGAGGUAACCUCUUCCUAUUGCCUGAUGAUCAUUGCUUGCUUGUUCAUUUAAGCUUUGUAAUUAAUACGACAGCUUGUCAUUUUGUUCAAUCAAUGUUUAGACGACAAAAUCUGAAAGGAUAGUCUUUAACUUAGACUCUUCCUUCUUAGAUACUUCACCCUUUAAACUUGGUGUUUUCUAAACAAUAGUCCUGUUUCAGGUUUCUAUAUUAUUUAGAACUUUUCAGAGUAAUAUGCAAAACUUCUUUCCUGAAAGUUUUAUUAGUUCGUUAAUCGUUAUUCCUAUGUAACAUGUUUGCAAAAAGAUCAUAACAAUAGAUAAGAAUGAAGCUAGCUCUGAUCAUAACUCGAAUAAAACAUCAAAGAUGGCGAAAGAAGGGUAACAAAGAAGUGGAUUGAGAAUGUGCGUUUUCGCAAAGGAAAGGAAGAAAGAAAGAAAAGAAAUGUAUUUUCAAGAAUACACAUAAGAACUAGGUGCCCCAGUUAUCGCCGCUUGAGUUUCCCUGUACAAACUUUCCGAAGACCCUUCUAAGUUUGACAUGUGUUCAGGAGAUCUGCAAUACUCUGUCAAUGUUCCAAGACGUUGCAUAUCCUUUCUUAUUGGUAAAGCAAGAUCAUCAUAUGCCCCUGAUCAAAAUUUGAUCCGCUCAAGUCCUGAUGUUCCAAUCCUGUCCAAUACUUGAGUCGCCCCUUUCGGGUUUUCGACUCAAGCCCUCUUUGGUCUCAAAGUGCCCUUUACGGGUUUUCACCUUAGCCUCUCCAAAGUCUCCUUUUCUUUUUUUUUUUUUUUUUUUUUUUUUUUUUUUUUAGGAAGCAAAGCGCCCUUCACGGGUUUUCACUUUGGUUCCGCUUUCUUUCAAGUGAAGUAUUUCUUGACGGAGUCUGCGUUUACAGGAUUUGGUAAACUUUUGCCAUCCAUCUCGCAUAGGAUCAAAGCUCCACCAGAAAAGGCCUUCUUUACAACAUAAGGGCCUUCCCAAUUUGGCAUCCAUUUUCCUCUAAAAUCUUUUUGCAUAGGAAGAAUCUUUUUUAGUACCAAGUCCCCUUCACGAAAUUCUCGGGGGCGAACCUUUUUAUUAUAAGCUCGCAUCAUUCGUUUCUGGUACAUUUGCCCAUGGUGAAUAGCUCUUAGCCUCUUUUCUUCUAUUAGGUUCAACUGAUCGUACCGAGAUUGGAUCCAAUCGGCUUCAUCCAACUGUAGCUCAGAUAACACCCGUAGAGAAGGGAUUUCAACUUCAAUGGGUAAUACUGCCUCCAUUCCAUAAACCAGAGCAAAAGGCGUUGCCCCAGUAGAAGUUCUAACAGAUGUUCGAUAGGCGAGGAGAGCAAAUGAUAAUUUCUCAUGCCAAUCCUUGUAGGUUUCAGUCAUUUUCCCCACAAUCCUUUUAAUGUUUUUAUUGGCCGCCUCUACUGCACCAUUCAUUUUGGGACGAUACGGCGAUGAGUUAUGAUGCUUAAUUUUAAAUUUGCUACAAACUUCAGCUAUUGUGCUAUUAUUCAAGUUCAUCGCAUUGUCGGAUAUGAUCCUCUCAGGCAUCCCAUAUCGACAAAUGAUCUCCUUCUUCAAGAAUUUGCUGACUACUGCUUUUGUGACAUUUGCAUAUGAAGCAGCCUCCACCCACUUGGUAAAGUAAUCAAUUACUACGAAGAUGAAGCGAUGCCCAUUAGAAGCCUUUGGUGAUAUUGGCCCAAUAACAUCCAUACCCCACAUGGAAAACGGCCAAGGAGAGGUCAUGACGUGAAGAGGUGAAGGAGGCGCGUGUAUUUUGUCUCCGUAAAUUUGGCAUUUGUGGCACUUCCUGGCAUGAUCAAUGCAAUCUCCUUCCAUGGUGGGCCAAUAGUACCCAAAUCUCAUGAUCUGUCUGGCCAUCGUGAAACCACUGGCGUGCGUCCCACAAAUACCCUCAUGGACUUCUUCCAAAAUUUUCUUGGCUUCUACCGCAUCUACACAUCUUAACAGUACUUGAUCCUUCCUUCUUUUAUAUAACACUUCUCCAUCUAAGACAUAUUCAAUGGCUAUCUUUCUCAGAGUUCUUUUGUCAUUCUCUGUCGCUUGAUCAGGGUAUUCCCGAUUCUUCACAUAUUGUAAGAUACUCCGAUACCAAGAACAAUCAUCUUUUCCCUCCUCCUCAAUAUUGCAACAAUUAGCCGGGGUCUCAGAGAUACUCAUCUGAACAGGCCUCAUUGCCUCAAGUCUAUUCACCUGAAUCAUCGAAGCUAGAGUAGCUAAUGCAUCAGCCAUUUGGUUUUCCUCCCGUGGGAGGUAAUAGAAGGUGAUAUCGUCAAACUCCUCAGCCAAUUCAAGAACUAGUUUUCUAUAACCAAUUAGCUUAGGAUCUCUAGUCUCCCACUCCCCUUUGAGUUGGUAUAUCACCAACGCUGAAUCCCCGUAUACUCUCAGUACUUUGAUGUUCCGUUCAAUGGCUGCACGAAUGCCCAUAAUACAUGCUUCAUAUUCUGCCAUGUUAUUUGUACAAUCGAAGUCCAACUUGCUGGCUACAGGAUAAUGAUCUCCACUCGGGGAUACCAAAACUGCCCCAACUCCAUUACCCGUAGCAUUCGAAGCUCCAUCAAAAUUUAACUUCCAUACGUGAUCCAUUUGAGGGUUUUCUUCAGUAUUCGCCACAUACAUCAAGUCCUCGUUUGGAAAAUCGAAAUUCAAAGAUUCAUAGUCCUCCAAGGCUCUACUAGCUAGGAAAUCGGCUAUUGCACUUCCCUUUAUGGCCUUCUGACUGACAUAUACUAUAUCAAAUUCUGAGAGCAAGAUCUGCCAUCUAGCCAUUCUCCCGUUCAAAGCAGUUGAUUCCAUCAUAUAUUUUAAAGGAUCUAACUUUGAAAUCAGCCAAGUCGUGUGAUACAACAUAUACUGCCUCAGUCUUCGGGUUGCCCAGAUUAGAGCACAACACAACUUCUCAAUUGAUGAGUACCUCAUUUCGCAAUCGGUAAAUUUCUUACUGAGAUAGUAUAUUGCCCUUUCUUUCUUUCCCGUCUCAUCAUGUUGGCCCAAUACGCAUCCCAUGGAAUUCUCCAACACUGUUAGAUACAAUAUCAAUGGCCUAUCUGGACUUGGAGGUGAUAAGACUGGAGUAUUAGCCAAGUACUGCUUUAUCUUAUCGAAAGCCCUCUGACACUCUUCAUCCCAAUUGCCCGGAUUAUGUUUCUUUAAGAGCCGGAAUACUGGAUCACAUUUCUCUGUCAGUUGUGAGAUGAACCGAGCAAUGUAAUUCAGCCUCCCUAGGAAACCUCGAACCUCCUUCUGAGUGCGCGGGGGAGGUAAAUCUCGUAUUGCCUUUACUUUGUCUGGGUCAACCUCGAUCCCCUUUUUGCUAACUAUGAAGCCUAAUAACUUCCCUGAUCUGGCUCCGAACGUGCACUUGGCCGGGUUAAGCUUGAGCUGAAAUUUCUUUAAUCUCAAAAAUAACCUUUUCAAGACCUGAACAUGCUCUUCUUCCGUUCUAGACUUUGCGAUCAUAUCGUCAACAUAGACUUCGAUCUCCUUGUGCAUCAUGUCGUGAAACAAAGUCACCAUAGCUCUUUGAUACGUUGCUCCCGCAUUCUUCAAUCCGAAGGGCAUUACCUUGUAACAGAAUGUUCCCCAUAAGGUAAUGAAUGUGGUUUUCCUCAUGUCUCCGGGAUGCAUCUUUAUUUGAUUGUAUCCAGAGAAACCGUCCAUGAAAGAAAACAAUGAAUAGCCCGCCGUGUUAUCUACCAAAGUAUCAAUGUGAGGUAGUGGAAAGUUGUCCUUUGGACUAGCCUUGUUUAAAUCCCUAUAAUCCACACACAUUCGUACCUUUCCAUCUUUUUUGGGAACAGGGACGAUGUUGGCUACCCAAUCCGAAUACUUGACCUCUUGUAAGAAACCAGCGUCGAAUUGUCUUUUGACUUCCUCUCUUAUUUUUAACACAAUGUCAGGUCUCAUUCUCCUAAGCUUCUGUUGAACGGGUUUACAAUCCUCCUUUAUGGGCAGACGAUGUACCACAAUGUUAGUAUUUAGCCCAGGCAUAUCUUGGUACGACCACGCGAAAACAUCCUUGAACUCUCGGAGCAAAUUGAUGAGGUCUUGCCUUGUCUUUGCGGUAAUUUCAGUUCCAAUUUUCACCUCCUUUCCAUCCUCUAGGCUCACUAUUUCUAACGAUUCCCUAUGAGGUAGGAUAUGCUUAUCCUCUUGUUCCAUCAUUCUUAACAAGUCCGGAGAUGCAUCAUAAUCUUCGUCAUUUUCAAAGUCGUGGGAUCCCUCUGAACACACUUCUUGCUCAAAAAUAGGCUCCGCGUUUGAGACAGCAUCACUCAUGUCAUUGAUAUCUGAAGACCUAUGUGGGCAGAUCAAAUAAUAUACCAAGAAUAUAAAUUUAUGAAUAUGUUUGCAAAAGAAUCACAAAUGAAAGAAUUAUUUGUAAGACAAUCAACCAAAUGAAAAAUAUGAAAGGAAAAAGUGACUGAUCGAGAUGAACGUAGACACGUAUUUUAUUAAAAUAAUGAUAUUUAGGCCCAAUGCCUAUUUCACAAAAAAUUUCGUAUCGUUUCUAGGCCAACAAACAACAGGAAUGUUUUGAGCAUUACUCUGAAUAAGCCCUAAAGACUACAGGGAUUUCUUCAGCAGUCCAAUUGUUUAGCUCGCUUCCAGGCUCAUAAGGGCGGAUCUCCAAUAAAGCCUUCCUUUCCGUUGCUUCUAUGGUGUUAAUAUAAACGUUUUCCAACAUUCCUCCCAUGCCGCUACCGGAUACCCCACAUUCAGAAUGAAUAAAUCCUCCCGACACAAAAGAUGAAGAUAUGUGGGGAAAAGUUAAAGGCUCACACUUAGCUUCAUGUCCAUUCAAACGCGCCCUUCUUCUCGCUUGUCUCUUCUCUACUUCUUUCUUCUUCUGCUUCAUGUCUGGCUUGUACCCUAAACCAAAUCUAUCAAACUUUUCCCUCGGCAUUGGUGCCUCAAUCCUCCCCUGAAGAUAUUUUCCCAAUCCCUUCCCGGGUAAGGCUCCUCUUCCUACCAUCAAUCGCAAUCCCAUCUCAGUGGUCCUGGACAUUUUCGGUACUGGAAUCCUAUUUCCCUCCGCAAUAAACAUCGCGUUCACAAAUUCUAACGACCGAAAAGAACAUUCCAGUGCCUCAUCGUUGAUGUCCACAUAAGGUGCCUCGCUAGUCAUCAUUGCGAUAAUAUCCUCCUCUGCAUCUAUUGUUACCAACCGAUCCUCCGAUACCAACUUCACCUUCUGAUGUAAUGAUGAAGGUACCGCCCCUGCUGAGUGUAUCCACGGUCUCCCCAAUAGACAGUUGUAGGAGGGUUUAAUAUCCAUUACCAAGAAAUCCACCUCAUAAGUGACUGGGCCAAUCCUUAAUGGUACUUCAAUUCUCCCCAUAACCUCCUUUUUUGUUCCAUCAAAUGCCCUUACUAUGCUCUGGCAUGCUUUCAUGUGCGAACUGUCUAUUGGUAAUCGACUAAGAGUGGACAAAGGCAAUACAUUUAGUGCAGAUCCAUUAUCGACCAAGGCCCCCGGGAGUGUGUACCCUUUGCAUCGGACAGUAACGUGGAGGGCUUUAGUAGAACCUCUUCCUCCGGAUGGUAUUUCAUCAUCAUUGAAGAAGAUAAAAUUGUCAGCACCAAUAUUGUUGAUCAACCGAUCCAACUUGUUUACUGAAAUAUCGUCAGCCACAUAUGUUUCGUUUAGCACCUUUAAGAGUGCAUUCCGAUGUACUUCGGAGUUUAAGAGUAAAGCUAAUACCGAAAUACGGGCUGGCUGUUUGUGCAGUUGCUCCACAACACUGUAUUCGCUGUGUUUCAAAAACUUCAAAAACUCCUUCGCCUCUUCUUCUUUUAUUGGUUCAUUUACCAAUGGUUCAACUUCUACUGCCUUCCCUUUCCUCUGUUCUUUCUUCCAAUUCUCUUCCCUGGACGACUCUGCUUGAGCGUCAUAUCUUUUUCCCUUGCGCGUGUAAAAAACUGUUUCCUGAUUUCUUUCUGCUUCUUUUCCCAAAAUGGUCACAUUACACCCGUAAUUCCACGGCACCAUUUUGUUAUCUUUAUAAGAGAAAUUUGAUGGUUUCUGGAUUACAAUUUUCGGCGUUACCUGAGCCCUAACCUCAUUACCCUUAGGGCGGGAGAUAAUGACCACGGGAUGAUUUAUUUUUGGAGCCUUUGUUCCCAACUCUGUCGCGCAUAUGCUCCUCAUUUCUUUCACAUCUUCAUAAAAUCUCAUCUCCUUGUUAUCCAUCAUGCUUUGAACCAAGGCCUUGAAUCCUUCACAUUCUUGGAUUUCAUGCCCUGUUUCAUGGUGAAAUUCACAAUAAUUUCCCAUCUCAUGCCCUUUCUCAGAAUCUGAAAUAAUCAAACCUCUUUUCGCCAUUUCUUUCCAGACCCAUUUCAAUGGAGUUUUUACUUCAGCAAUGUCAGUCUUGACUUCUUCUCCCGUACCUUCGCUAACCAUAUUCACCCCCUUAUCUGCGUGAUUAGGUAACGGAUUCUUUGCGUGAGGUGAGUCGUCAAGUUUGACAACACCUAAAUUGAUAAGUCCUUCUACUACCUUCUUGAAGGCAGUACAAUUUUCUAUCGAGUACCCAGAAAUUCCCGCAUGAUAAUCACAUUGCGCGUUCGUAUCAUACCAUUUUGGAUACGGGGGUUGUAGAGGACUCAAGUAACGAGGAGCAACAACAUGUGCAUCGAAUAAAGUCUGAUACAACUCCUUGUAUGACAUCGGGAUUGGCGUGAAUUGGGGCUUUUCAGUAGUUUGCCUAGCUCCUGACUCUUGUCUUGAUGAUCCCUGUUGAUUAGCAACCACUUUCUUUGGUUGAUUCACGGUAAUCGACCUACCAUAAGCAUUCACAUUAUUCACUUCAUUUUCUCUUUUCCUCGGGGGUGCCCUCCUAUUAUUUUCUCCUCCAUCUAUUUUUCCACUUUUAAUGGCAUGCUCAAUCAUUUCACCAUUCAUGAUUAUAUCUGAGAAAUUUCUUGAAGCGCUUCCCAACAUGUGAGUGAUGAACGGGGCUUUCAAAGUAUUAAUAAAAAGCGUCGUCAUCUCUUUUUCCAAAAGCGGUGGUUGCACCUGAACCGCCACCUCUCGCCACCUCUGCGCAUAUUGUCUGAAGCUUUCGUUUGAUUUUUUCUCUAAAUUUUGCAGAGUUAUCCUGUCAGGCAUCAUUUCUGAGACAUGAUUGUAUUGUCUCAAGAAAGCCUGUGCUAAAUCCCUCCAAGUAGCAAUUUUAGCUCGGCUCAGCUGAUUGUACCACUUUGACGCCGCUCCCGUAAGACUUUCCUGAAAGCAAUGUAUUAAUAAUUGAUCAUUAUUAAUAUGCCCCGUCAUUCUUCUACAAAACAUAGUAAUAUGGGAUCCUGGGCAACUAGUCCCGUUGUAUUUCUCGAAUUCCGGCAUCUUAAAUUUGUAAGGGAGCACCAAGUCCGGAACCAAGCUCAGAUCCUUUGCAUCCGUUCCAUAGCUUUCGAUGCUUUCUAUUGCCCUAAACUUCUCUUCUAUCCAUUUCCAUUUCUCCUCAAAUUGUUUUGGAAAUUCCUCCUUCGCCUUAUCCUUUUCAACCAUCUCGUCAAGAUCUGGGACCGCAAUAUUAUUCGGGCUAUCACCGGGAUUAAAGCCCGCUCCGGGUUGAAAAUUCAUUGGGAUUGAAGCAUCGCCUUGGAACUGCUGGGGUCUAACUGACACAGAGGGUCUCCGCGAAUGCAGCUCAGUCUGUACAUGUGGAGGCGUGAAACCUGGGGGAUAGAGUGGUUCACCGUUGUUUUCUUCUUCACUAACAAUCACAGGCCCUUUACCCUUAUCUACUCCCUUCAAUAAUUGCGUCAUCUUAGCCACCAGAUCAUUUUGGGACUCCUCCAUCUUUUGUACCAUGUCACGCUGAAUCUUUUCUAUUUGCUCUUUCAUUUGCGUCUGCAACUGGUCUUGCAUUUCUCUUUGAAGUCGCUCUAGCUUCUCUAACCUUUGGUCCAUAAUUUUUGUCUUUGCUCGGGUGCCGUAACUUUGUUGGUUUUCCAGGUUAACUGAAAUGAUUUUAUUCGAUUAGGUUUUUUUUUUAUGGUCAUUAAUGCAUAUGAUGUGAUGCAAUGCAUGAAAGAGAAUGCAAAGAAAAAGAGGCACUGAUUCUAAUUCAACUUCAUUAGAAAACUUUACUAGAUAAAGAGUUUCUUUACAUAAAAUAGACUACAUAUAUGGCUUUGCCCUCACACUCAAAGCCUUAACCUUUCUAAGAAGCCAAGCUAAUUCUCGGCCCCUGUCCGACUCUGACUCAUACUUCAAACUUAAUAGAUCAGCCUGAACCGCUAGAGUUUGCAGAUGAUCAGCCACUUCGCGCACCUGAAUCACCGCCUCUCCCAUAAUAUAAUCUCUUUCUCCAAUCUGCUCUUGAGACCGACGGAAUUGUCCUUGCCACUGCUCAUUACUUUCUUCUAGAAGCUCUAUCCGGAUUUCACUAUUUUGCAAUGCAUUCUCUAGCCCUCCUAUCUGUGUUUUUAAUUCUUCAAUUUUGUCUAAGCUCGCCCUUAAUUCAACCGUAGUAUUACGAUUACAGUACUGGCGAAGCGAUCUUUCCAGUUCUGUUAUCCGGACCUUCAACUCCGUCUUCUCGUCUUGGCAAACUAGUAGACUCUUUCCUAAGGCGGCUUCUCGAGCCCGAGUAUCCUGAAAUUUCUUUUCCCAUUGAUUAGCUUUCGUCUUUUCCUCCUGAAUUUCUUGUCGCCAUUGUUCUGGUGUUUUACCUAAGCCAGCGGCUCUUACCGACUUACGCAACUUCUUGUAAUCUAUCUUCAGGCUGUCCAAAUCUUCUUCUGCCUUGUUCUUUCCUUUCCUCAAUUUGUUGGCCUCUAAUCUUUGAAUAUCCACAUCCAGUCCUAACUGCAUUUUUUCUUCCUCAAGUUGUUCUAUCUUCUUCCCCAAUUCUAAACUUCUUUUUUCGAAUUCUUGUUUGAUGAUUUCUAUCUCAGAAGGCAAGACUUGUAAGUGUUCCUCUAAAGAUCGAGCCGUUUCUGAAUUUGACGCCGGGAUGUUGUCGUUGAUCCUUUGAUUACGCCACUGUCCAUACUCGGGGGUAAUUGUCGGACCCACAGCUAAGAUCUUCAUUCGACGAGUCUGGUUCCAGGCACUAGAUAUUUCUCGAACCUUCUUCUUGUAAUUGUCCUCCCUAUAGGAAAAAUCACUAUAAGCCAACCCCUGGGUUGCUGGUAUGAAUUGUCGUGAUCUAUACUGUCUUGACACGAGUAGAGGAGCAUAUCCGAUAGCUCCCCAUAUCCCGAGCAGCGGAACCCAGUCAAAAUCUCCACAUCGGUACAAUAUCUCAUCAGGAAUUAACCAAGGAGCCCUCCAUUCAAUAUCUUCAUCUUGGAGAUUCUGGAGUAUCUCUAUCCAUUUUUCUUCUAAAAUAUCAUCCCGUCUUGGCGUGGCCACCAAUUCUCCUAGAGGGGAGUAGCUAUCGGAGAAUACCCGGUAAGAGACCUUUUCGACUUUCCAGAAGUGGCUAUGGAACCAUGCCAAUAAGAGCUGCGCGCAUCCGAUAAACCUUCCCUCCCCUGCUUUUCGACACGCAUUCAAGGAUCUAAAAGUUUCCGCGAGUAUUGCCGGAACCGGUGUAACCCCUUUACCAAGCCGAUCGAACAAAUCAGAUACAGCCUCGUCUAUGUGUCCUAAAGCUUUGGGGAAAACCACUAGUCCAUAGAUACCUAAAGCGAAGACAUCGACCCUUUUCUUUAAGUCAGGAUGUACAAGCACCAAAUCUCGCAAACUUUUCCAAGGAACACAUUUACUGUCGCCCUUCUGUUGGAUCCGGGCAGCGACCCACUGCUCGCUCAUCCCAGUGAUGUUCAUUAAUUUCUUUAACAACGGAGGGACACAAGCAGCUCUGGAAUAAGCCUUGUCGACUUGAAUCUUUGGGCACCGAAGCAAGGUCGUAUACUCCUCCACAGUAGGCGUCAAAUCUACCUUCCCAAAAGUGAAACAACUGUAGGCAGGAUUCCAAAACUGAGCAAGGGCUCGGAAUAAAUACUUGUCCACUUUGACACUGAGCAGAUAAGGUAGGUCACCAUAGUUACAAUAGAACAGCUCCUUGGCCUCGACAUCCCAUUGAUCCCAGACUUCUUUCAUUUCUCGAAGGUCAUUCUGGAUUACACUGAUACGGGUAAAAUCCCACAAUUCUGACACGUACCCUUCGGUAAGACUAUCGCCUUUCUCCCGUUGCGUAGUUUCAGCCCAUAUUCGCACAGCCGCAUUAUCUUCUACUUUAUCAACAAACCCCUUUUCCAUGAUAAGCUUUCUACCAAGAAACUGAACGUAAAUCAACACCUCUUUUAGAAUGAAGAUGCCAUGCAAUCACAAACAAAGUAAAUUAGCAUUAAACACAGAAUAAGAUUUAAAAUAAACGAUAAAUAAAUACAACAUUCAUUUAGGUAAGCACUAAAAUUUUAGAGUAGCUCUACCUAGGUCGGUUCCUAUGGCUCAUUACAUGUGGUUUGGUUCUAAAGUAGGGUACCUGAACCAGCAAAUUCCUCGAUCCUCACCCAUUAUAGGCUCAUACGGACCAAGUUCGAUUCAGGGGGAUACAUUUCCCUAUGGCCAUGCGGAGAUGAAAAUCUCACGAAGACAUAGGUACGGAUAUAUCCCGAAAGCGAUUCACUAUCCCAUGCGGAGGUGAAAACCUCACGAAGGCGUAGCUUCUCACUCCCACUUAAAAAGGUAUGAGCAACGGUCAUGCAAUGCAAUGUGCAGAGGUAUAAAAUAAAAUACAGAACACGACCAAAAUAUAACUCAAAACAAAAGAGAUGCAGUGAGAGGAUCGUAAAUUUCAAUCGAAUUUUCAACUUUCGACAAAAAGACAAGAAAUAAUCAACACGUGGCUUGACUCUCUUAUCACGUCCCCAGUGGAGUCGCCAAGCUGUUGACACCCUUUUUUGAUGAAAACGGGGUCGACUUGGAUUUUGAAAAUGAAAACGGGAGUCGCCACCAAUCUUUUAUUAAGGUGUGAUUGGAUCACCUCGAAAAGCGGUCGUUUUUAAUAAACGGUUUGAUUUUAUUAAAACAACAAGUUUGGUCCACGAAAUUCAGAAAACGGGUUCGGGAGUCGGUUACGCACGAGGAAGGAUUAGCACCCUCGAUACGCCCAAAAUUGGUACCUUAGUUGAUUACUUAAUGUCUUAAUGUCGAAAAUUGAAAACUUAGAAGAAUUAAAAAAAAUACGAUCCUUGUAUUAAAACGUUGAAAAUUUUCAGGAAAAUGGGUAUAUUUCACAUUAUUCGAGAAAGAGAAUCAUAUUCAGUAAGUUAGAAUACAAUGUCUCAGAUUCCCAAUACGUGAAUGAAUGCCAGAAUUUUACUUAUUUAAAAGAUAUUUUAUUAUCUCGGGUUUAGGAAAGGGAUCAUGCCCAGUAAGUUAGGACACGAUCUUUUCUUAAUUCCCGAGAUCGUUUCAAAACUUGAGUUUGAAAAGAUUAGUGUGUUUAGAUUUAUUGUGGAAAUCGAAACCCAGUAAGUUAGGGUACGAUCCUCUCGAAUCUAAACAAAAAUAUCAUUUUUUAAACAAAUUUAAUUAUCGAGUAAAAUAAAAACAUGAAGGCGUAGUAAAAAAUGUGAAAGCAAAUUACAUUGUUAUACAUGACAAAAUCAUAAUGAAUACAAAAGUGUAAAAAUGAUACGAGCGAUAGCAACAAUAUAAAAUAAAUAAAAGUCAAACCUACAAUCAUAUAACAAUAUAUAUAAACAAAUAAAUUAAACAUUCGUUCAAAAUAAUAAUGAAAAUGAAAUAAAUAAAUAAUGAAUACAAUCAAAAUUCAAAGGGAUAUAUAUAUUUAUGUGUAUAGACAAAAGAAAAUAUAAUAUGUGUGUAUUCAUAAAUUACAAUGUAUACAUAUAAAGUAUACUUUAAAAUAUAAAAAAUAUGCAUAUAGAUAAAAAUAUGUACACAUAUAUAUAGGUGUAUAAAAUUAUGGAAUAUGAAAAUAAUGAAAUGCAUAUAUAAAGUAGGCGCAUGAAAAUAUGUAUGUACAAAUUAGAAUUUAAAAAUAAUGAAAAUAUACCGACGUAUACAAAUAAGUACGUUAAUUUAUAUAUAUAUGUUUAAAAUAUAUUGAAAAUAUGUAUGUAUAUGUCUAUGCAAAUUAAGAUAUACAAAAACAUAUAAAUACAUACAUAAAUAUAUAUAUACUUAUAAAAAUAAAAAUAUGUAUAUGUGUAUAGAUAUAUAUAAAAAGAAAUAUGAGUAUACGUAUAUAUAUUAAACAAAUUAUAUGUAAAAUAUGUACAUGUACAUAUACAAGCACUUAUAUGAUAAUAAUAAGAUAUAUAUAUAUUUGAAAAUACAUAAGUAUAUAUGAAUAGAGAUGUAAAAGUAACAACAAUAAUACCAAUACUAAUAAUAGUAAAGAUGAUAAUAAUAAUAAUAAUAAUAAUAAUAAUAAUGAAGUUAACAAAAAUUGACUAAAUAAUAAAAUAUGCUAAAAAGGGGCCUUAAAUCGAAAUGAAAUAAAACAUAUAGGGCCAAUUCGAAAUAAAGGAAAACGAAAGGGAUCCAAUUGCGACGCGCGUAAAAAAGGGGAGGACCAAAACAGAAAAUAAACCCAAAAUCCCGAAACGCAGCACCUCAAUGGACUAAAAUAAAACAAAAAUAAAAUGUUAGGGCUAAAUCAAAAUAAAAUAAAACAACAAAAUAGGACCAAAUUGAAACACGCCGCGAAUCAGAGGGACUGCGCGCAUAAAUAGCCCAAAAAUUAAAAACACGCGGAUCCUUCGGGUCGGGUCGGGUCGACGCGCGGAUCCCCUUUGCUAAAACGGCGUCGUUUCAUUUUGAAUAUAAAUAAUAGAAAAAAACAAAAAAAAACAAAUCAGAUUCAUUUUUUAGAAAAAAAAAGCUGAGAGGGAGAGUCUCUCUCUCAUUCUUUCAGGCCCGGCGCUGGUCAUCGGCCGAACUAGGCCUCCGGCGAUUCUCCGCCCUAGCGCCGCCGCGUAUGGUGGCCGGAGUAUCCCAAAAAUCGGAUUUUUUCAUCCUUUUCGAAGUUAAGUGCGUCUUAAGCACGAAUCGAAGGGUUAAAUCCGAAAAAGGAGGUCCGAAACUUGAAGAACGAGGAGAGACCACUCGCCCUUCCCCUUUCGACGUAGCACAGGUAACCCCUAUUCCUAUUUUGUUUUGUUAAAAGAGUUGUAGAAAAUAAAAAAAUAAUAGAAGACAGGGAAUAAAACGCAAGAAUCUGAGAAAAAAAAAUCUGAAAUCAACCUUUUCUUUCGCUUUUUUAUCUUCUUAUUAUUCACUGAUUGUUGUUAAUUCCUUGUUUGAUACCCAAAAUCCCCAAGCCCCGUUUACAUAUUAAAUCUGGCUUUUUAUAGCCGAAAGAAAGAAAAAAAUUUGUCUUCGUUUCUGCUUGCGUGUUUGUUUCUCUU